rnacentral:misc_RNA from 1 species
AGUCCACUUAAGCCCAGCUUAGUGUUGGGAGACUGCUCCAGCGGUGCUACCCUGUAGCUACCCUGCAGCUCCUCAAAGACAGCGGCGGAGUUGUGGUAUCCUCUGAGCUUAGUAACUUGUUCUAGCUUUCGAGUACACCACUUCCCCUGCCGUAAAACCCUUAAUUUUUAAUGG